UUGAAACGCGGGUGUCGAGGUUCCCCAUCCCAGGCAUGGCGAUGGGGCUAAGACGGGAAGCCGGUGGUGCCCUGUACGGGCAGAGUCCGGCGCUGCCCCCGCAACUGUAAGCGGCGAGUGGCGGCUCCAUAUCGUGCCACUGGGCUCCCGCAAGGAGCCUGGGAAGGCCGGAGCCACCGCGUUGACCCGCAAGCCAGGAGACCUGCCUUCCGACGCCAUAACGU
rnacentral:ncRNA from 2 species